rnacentral:rRNA from 2 species
GAUGAACGCCGGCGGUGUGCCUAAUGCAUGCAAGUCGAACGCGUUGGCCCAAUUGAUUGAUGGUGCUUGCACCUGAUAGAUUUUGGUCGCCAACGAGUGGCGGACGGGUGAGUAACACGUAGGUAACCUGCCCAGAAGCGGGGGACAACAUUUGGAAACAGAUGCUAAUACCGCAUAACAACGUUGUUCGCAUGAACAACGCUUAAAAGAUGGCUUCACGCUAUCACUUCUGGAUGGACCUGCGGUGCAUUAGCUUGUUGGUGGGGUAAUGGUCUACCAAGGCGAUGAUGCAUAGCCGAGUUGAGAGACUGAUCGGCCACAAUGGGACUGAGACACGGCCCAUACUCCUACGGGAGCAGCAGUAGGGAAUCUUCCACAAUGGGCGCAAGCCUGAUGGAGCAACACCGCGUGAGUGAAGAAGGGUUUCGGCUCGUAAAGCUCUGUUGUUAAAGAAGAACACGUAUGAGAGUAACUGUUCAUACGUUGACGGUAUUUAACCAGAAAGUCACGCU